rnacentral:tRNA from 1 species
UUUUAUGUAGCUUAAGCGUAAAGCAUCGGUCUUGUAAAUCGAAGAUAAUAGGUUUAUUCUAAAAC